CUGUAGCUGAGGAUUUUACCAGUCAGGCUCCUGGCUAGAUUCCAGGUACUAGCUAGUACCUGAUCUAGCCAAAGCCUGACUAUAAGCUGCUAAAG
rnacentral:pre_miRNA from 1 species